GAAUUAUGGGGUGGUGGUGGUGGUGGUGGUGACCACAUGCAAGAUCAUGAUCAUGAGCACCAUGAAACUAUAUUCGUGGGAAGCACAAGAAAGAGAGAAUGCGGACCCAAAUCUUAGCUCUGAGUCCUUGGAAGAAUUGGCUGAGCUCUAUCUUUCUUGAUGAGGCCCAUGCAACUAUAGCCUAUAUCUCAAGGUCCAGUCUGGUCAGAAAGAAAGAAAGCUUAAUGGAUAUUCAUGUUAGGUUGUGACUGCAUCUGAGAACUUGUAAUGGUUCAAAUUUUCAUUCUUCCAUGGUGCAAUUAUAUGUCAUUCUUAUUAUUGAUCUCUGUCCUAACUCGAUCUUUGGAAUCGAUGGACCCACUGCUUGAUGAAUGAAUAUCAUGAAAUGGGUUAUUCAUCAUUGUAUUAAUGGUUUUUUUUUUUUUUUUGGUUGUUGAUAGGAAUUGUAUUAAUGGUUUUUUGUUUU